AGCGGCGGACGGGUGAGUAAGGCAUGGGAAUCUGCCCAGUUGAGGGGGAUAACUGCUGGAAACGGCAGCUAAUACCGCAUACGCCCUGCGGGGUAAAGAAGGGGACCGGUUUACCGGCCUUUCGCGACUGGAUGAGCCCAUGUAAGAUUAGCUAGUUGGUGAGGUAAAGGCUCACCAAGGCGACGAUCUUUAGCUGGUUUGAGAGGAUGAUCAGCCACACUGGAACUGAGACACGGUCCAGACUCCUACGGGAGGCAGCAGUGGGGAAUAUUGCACAAUGGGCGCAAGCCUGAUGCAGCCAUGCCGCGUGUGUGAAGAAGGCUUUCGGGUUGUAAAGCACUUUCAGUGGGGAGGAAGGUAAGCUGUUGAAUAGGUAGUUUAUUUGACGUUACCCACAGAAGAAGCACCGGCUAACUCCGUGCCAGCAGCCGCGGUAAUACGGAGGGUGCGAGCGUUAAUCGGAAUGACUGGGCGUAAAGGGCACGUAGGCGGUUUAUUAAGCUCAUUGUGAAAGGUCCGGGCUUAACCUGGAGAGUGCAGUGAGAACUGGUAAGCUUGAGUUUUGGAGAGGGGAGUAGAAUUUCCGGAGUAGCGGUGAAAUGCGUAGAGUUCGGAAGGAAUACCAGUGGCGAAGGCGACUCUCUGGCCAAAAACUGA
rnacentral:rRNA from 1 species